UACGGAGGGUGCAAGCGUUAAUCGGAAUUACUGGGCGUAAAGGGCGCGUAGGCGGCCUGGUAAGUCAGGGGUGAAAUCCCACGGCUCAACCGUGGAAUUGCCUUUGAAACUGCUGGGCUUGGAUCCUGGAGAGGGUGGCGGAAUUCCUGGUGUAGGAGUGAAAUCCGUAGAUAUCAGGAGGAACACCGGUGGCGAAGGCGGCCACCUGGACAGGUAUCGACGCUGAGGCGCGAAAGUGUGGGGAGCAAACAGG
rnacentral:rRNA from 1 species